AACCUCCUGGUGCUUAUCACAGGCUAUGUUCUUAUACUGACUGUAGGAGGCAAAGUAAACCUCCCUCAUGUACACCUCAGCCCAGGCCCUGGGCCUGGUCUGUAUUGUGAAUGGAGAGACAUAG
rnacentral:snoRNA from 1 species